rnacentral:lncRNA from 1 species
CCGAGUGGGUGGGGCCGGAUGUGCAGGCCCCGCCCGGCGCCAGGUUCCGGGCUCGGGUCACCGCAGCACGUCCAGGCCGCCGCGGGUGCCGCUGGGGCCGCCGGAUUCCGAGAGCGGCGCCGGGCUCUUUCGGGCCCACGACGGCCCCGACCGUCCUGAGGAAACCGCUGCCGCCGAGGAAAGGCCGCAAAAACUGUUCCGCCCGGAAGGGAGAAGAGCUGCGGGGCGAAGCCAGGGCUCGCAGGGGGCAGCGGCAGGCUGCUCGCGUUCGGCCUCGUCCACUCGGCCCGCGGAGAGCGCGGGGGGCGCUGGGAACCGCAGUCACGCAUGCGCCGCCUGCCACCGAGCGCCGCGGGGCCCGCGCGAGGCGUCCUGGCGGGCGAGGGGCUGGGGGAGGGGGGGGGGGCCGUGCGGUGGACUCUCGCGAGAGCGCGCGGCGCGGUGACUCGUCGCUGAGGGACUUUAAGAUUGUAGAGGGGCGCGGAGGGUCCUCCCCGGGGCGGAGGGACACAGAGGGAUUCUAGGGAACCUGCCGUCGCGAGUCCCGCUUCAGGCGGAGAAUCUAGGCGGCGGCGGGGCCUCCCUGAGGCGGAGGAGUCGGCACCGGGGCCUGGCUGCCGGGGAAGGAGAGCACGGGAGCGGGGACUCCUGUGUCUGGCGGAGGGACACGGCGUUCCGGUGGAGGGAUCUGUUCCUUGUACCUGGUCCAGGGUUGCGGUCGGGGAUGGAGCGGUUACCCCGACCCUGCGGGACCUUCUUCCUCUGGCGGAGGUGCACGGCGCGGCGUGGUGUUUUUCUGGCGGAAGUAUCUGUGCGUGGCCCCAGGCCCUUCCCGGCGCGGUCUCAUCUGGGGCCACUUGUUGGCCCUCGCGUUGGGGAGGUUCAUGUGGUGCAUCCUGAUGAGAAGGGGGGUCACAGGGGUCUCGGGGCCAGGGUUCAGCCAGCCAGGCCCCAGCUUGCUCUCUUCUGGUGCUGCCCCUGUCCCUGAAUUCAUAGACCCGGCUUUCCCUCUCUUGAGCACCUACUAUGUGCCAGGCUGCGCUUUGCGCAUGUAGCAGAGGCAACAGUGUCACCUGGGAAGCUGGUUUCCCCCAAAGGAACUCUUGUCUGUCCGUUGUUGCAGAGCCAGCGCAUGAGACCAAGUGUGAGUAUCAGGCAGUGCAGCCUUCAUUCAGUGGCCAUGGAAUUGGAGAAGUGGGAGGGUAGCUCGCAAAUCAAGCUCUCAGCUCUUGGAAACUGAGAAGUUACAGGUAAUAGGGAGUGUUGACGAAAAGUAAAACCGUGCAAAAUAUUUGAAGAGAUUUAUUGUGAGCCAAAUACGAGUAACCACAGCCUGUGAUACAGCCCUCUCGAGGCCCUGAGAACAUGUGCCCAAGGUGGUCGGGGUGCAGCUUGGUUUUAUGUUUUAGGUUGGCAUGAGACAUCAGUCAAAUACAUUAAAUACAUUGGUUUGGUCCAGGAAGGCGGGACAACGCAAAGGGGUGGGGGUGGGGGCUUCCAGGCUAUAGGUAAAUUUAAAUAUUUUCUAGUUGACAAUUGGUUGAGUUUGUCUGAAGACCUGGGAUUGAUAGAAAGGAAGUGUUCAGGUUAAGAUAAAAGAUAGUGGAGACUAAGGUUCUUUUGAAGUCUUAUGGUGGCUGCUCUUAGAGAUAAUAGAUGACAAAUGUUUCCUAUUCAGAUCUUCAAAAGGUGUUAGACUUUUAGUUAAUCCGUUUAGGAUUGGGAGGGCCUGGAAGAAAAACAUCUAGCUAUGUUAAUAGAUGUUCUUUACAGAUGCACAUUUUACCCCACAAAGGAUAGCUUUUGGGGGAAAAUGCUGUCCUUUAUGGAAGAAAUUGCAAAAUAGGGCAAGGAAACAUGUUUUGGGGUAAAAUAUUUUGACUUUCUUUUUGUCACGUAAUGUUAUGCCAGAGUCAGAAUGGAAAGUAAGUCAUCAUAUAUAGGAUUAAAUAAAACCCAUCUGAUGAGAAUUUAUGGUUUGUAGGUCAUGACUCCCCAGAUCCCUUAGAUAGGAAUUUGGGCAGGAUUAAAAAAAUCAAGAGUUUAGGCUGGUCGUGGUGGCUCACGCCUAUAAUCCCAGCAUUUUGGGAGGCCAAGGCAGGUGGAUCGCUUGAGGUCAGAAGUUUAAGACCAGCCUGGCCAACAUGGCGAAACCCCGUCUCUACUAAAAAUACAAAAAUUAGCUGGGCAUGGUGGCACACGCCUGUGAUUCUAGCUGAUUGGGAGGCUGAGGCAUGAGACUCAACUUGAACCCGGGAGGCGGAGGUUGCAAUGAGCUGAGAUUGUGCCACUGCACUCCAGCUUGGUUGACAAAGUGAGACUCUGUGUCAAAAACAAAACAAAACAGAAAAAAAAAACAAAAGAAUCAGAGCUUAGUCGUCAGGUGUCCUUAAUGAAGGGGCUGGGCAUUAAGAGCAAGGCGAGGAGGCAGAAGGAAAGCUUGAGCCCAGGAAUUGGAGACCAGCUUGGGCAACAUGGUAAGACCCUGUCUCUAAAAAAAAUAAAAAUUAAGAACAAGAGGAGGAAUAUUCAUGUUUUUUCUUGGGAAGGGAGGUAGAUUUUCCUGGAAUCAAGGAGCUGCCCCUUUUUUUGUCCUUUUUUUGGUCUCUUCGGGUCAUCACGGUGAUUGUCAACUGUCAUGGCAACCAGUGGGAAUGUCAUUUAGUACUGAAGUUGGAUUAGAAUGAAGCUAGAGGUUCUUCAGAGGUCGAGUAAGCUAAGAAGGAACCUAUGACCACAGACAACCUGUUUUCUAAAAAUAAGCAGAGUUAAAUCUGAGUAGGAAUUUAGCUAUGUCAUGGAGGCAUUGCAUUGGGUAACAAAAGCCAGGUAGGCGUCCAGCUAAGUCCCCUAGGCCCUGCAACGGGUAACAGCAGUACUGACUCUAUGUUAGAGAAAAGCUUGCUUGCUUGAGUAUAAUUAUUGUUUUGCCUGAGUUUGUAAACUAUUCACUAAAAACAGCCACAGAAAAAAACAGGACCUUCUUCAACAGAUAAAACACACAGACCCGCAGCUUUGGGAACAGGCUGAUGGCCCCUGCACAGUCUAGUCACAAGGCAUUGACCAAGAAAGUAAUGACUAACUGCCCAUCUGAGACUGCGCAUGAUUCACAAGAAUGUUUCUUUGUUUUGUUUUUUGAGACAGUCUUGGUCUGUCUCCCAGGCUGGAGUGCAGUGAUGUUGGUUCGCUGUAGCCUCUGCCUCCUGAGUAGCUGGGACUACAGGCGUGUGCCACCGCACCUGGCUAAUUUUUGUAUUUUUAGUAGAGAUGAUGUUUGACUAUGUUGGCCAGGAUGGUCUCGAACUCCUGACCUCAAGUGAUCCACCUGCCUCGGCCUCCCAAAUUGCUGGGGUUACAAGUAUGAGCCACCGCUCCUGGCCCACAAGAAUGUUUUGAUCAUUAUUUCUCCUAAUUUUCCUUAAAAUCCCUGGAUCUAGAGGCACAACUGAGAAAGGUGGUCUUUGAAUGCUAGUGCACUGCCUUUUGCAGGUUGCUGGUUUCUCGAAUAAAGCUAACUUUGCUUUCACCAAAGCUUGUCUUUUGAGUUUUUGGCUUUCAGGCGACGAGUGGCCUGGACACCAGUUCGGCUACAUGUAUGUCAGUGGGCAAAACAAAAAUCCUUAUUCUGGGAGGUAGAUAGCUUAUUAGAAAACACAACCUAAUCACUUGUUUCCCAAAUGUUAAAAAUUGAGCCAAUUUUAGCCCCAGAAGCUUAGGGUACCAUGUACAUAACAGGCAUUACCUGAGGGUGGGGCAGAGAGAAUCAGUGGGGUACCUCGUAUAUGCCAGGGGUUGUAUCAGCAUCCUUACACAGCUCAUUUUUCUUUUUAAAUAAUACUUAUUGAGGACCUAUUUAAUGCCAGAUAUGGUGGUAGGUAGGGAGCAAAAGCAGGAUUCCCCUCCCAUUAUUGAGUUUUCAGUCUGGUGGGAGAGGCAGGAAUUAAAUAAGUAAUCCACAAACUCAAGUACAAUUCUAAGGGAGAUGGGUGCCACCAAGAAGAGACAUGGUGCUGAGAACCUAUGUCUGUCAGAGGGAUUUGAUCUAUUUGGGAGGUCUGGAAAGGUUUUUUUGAAGAAGCAGUGCUAGGGGUGAGAUCCAAAGGAGAAGAGCUAAUUAGGCAAAGCCUAGUCCUCACAAAAAUCCUAUAAACCAGAUAUGAUUACCUUCAUUUUAGAGUUUAGGGCAUUGAGACUUGAGCAAGGUGAUGUCACUGCCCAAGGUUACAUCAGAUUAAAUGGCAACCCAGGAUUCAGAUUCAAAUAAGAGUAGGGUUCUUUAUAUUCUCCUUGGGCUAUUUGGUGGUUUUAGGAGAGGCAAGUAUCACAAACAGCUUGGGGACAUGAGGGAGCAGGAAUCAC